rnacentral:lncRNA from 1 species
GAAAGCCGUGUGCAAUGAAAAAUGCAUGCACGGCUUGGGGAGGGAUUUUUUAUUCUUUUAUUUGAUUAAAGAAUGCAAUUUCUACUCCAUCCGACUAGUUCCGGGUUCGAGUCCCGGGCAACCCAUUUUAAAUUAUUAAAUAAAGUAAAUAUUGCGAAAUAUAUAUCGUUAUUACAUAUCAUAGCGAAGUAAUCUCUAUAGAAUUCUAG